CGGUCUUCAGGGGCUUCGGCUCCUGGUGGUAGUGGCGGACGGCUGAGUAACGCGUAAGCAACCUUCCCACGGGUGGGGGACAACCCCGAGAAAUCGGAGCUAAUACCGCAUGCGGUCUCUGGUCAUAAGGCGAGGGACCAAAGCCUUCGGGCGCCCGUGGACGGACUUGCGUCCUAUCAGGUAGUUGGUGGGGUAACGGCCUACCAAGCCAGUGACAGGUAGCCGGUGUGAGAGCAUGACCGGCCAGAGGGGGACUGAGACACGGCCCCCACUCCUACGGGAGGCAGCAGCAGGGAAUCUUGCGCAAUGGGCGAAAGCCUGACGCAGCGACGCCGCGUGGGGGAAGAAGGCCUGUGGGUCGUAAACUCCUUUUCUGGGGGAAGAAACCAGACGGUACCCCAGGAAUAAGCCUCGGCUAACUACGUGCCAGCAGCCGCGGUAAUACGUAGGAGGCAAGCGUUGUCCGAAUUCACUGGGCGUAAAGAGCGUGUAGGCGGCCGGGUCCGUCGGCGGUGUAAGCUCCAGGCUUAACUUGGAGAGGUCCGCCGAUACCACUCGGCUUGAGGGCGGUAGAGGAGCACGGAAUUCCUGGUGUAGUGGUGAAAUGCGUAGAUAUCAGGAGGAACACCUGAGGCGAAAGCGGUGCUCUGGGCCGUUUCUGACGCUGAGACGCGAAAGCGUGGGGAGCAAACCGGAUUAGAUACCCGGGUAGUCCACGCCCUAAACGAUGGGU
rnacentral:rRNA from 1 species